GAUGAAUGCUGGCGGCGUGCCUAAUACAUGCAAGUCGAGCGAAUGGAUUGAGAGCUUGCUCUUAUGAAGUUAGCGGCGGACGGGUGAGUAACACGUGGGUAACCUGCCCAUAAGACUGGGAUAACUCCGGGAAACCGGGACUAAUACCGGAUAACAUUUUGAACCGCAUGGUUCGAAAUUGAAAGGCGGCUUCGGCUGUCACUUAUGGAUGGACCCGCGUCGCAUUAGCUAGUUGGUGAGGUAACGGCUCACCAAGGCAACGAUGCGUAGCCGAACUGAGAGGGUGAUCGGCCACACUGGGACUGAGACACGGCCAAGACUCCUACGGGAGGCAGGAGUAGGGAAUCUUCCGCAAUGGACGAAAGCCUGACGGAGCAACGCGGCGUGAGUGAUGAAGGCUUUCGGGUCGUAAAACUCUGUUGUUAGGGAAGAACAAGUGCUAGUUGAAUAAGCUGGCACCUUGACGGUACCUAACCAGAAAGCCACGGCUAACUACGUGCCAGCCGCCGCGGUAA
rnacentral:rRNA from 1 species